rnacentral:lncRNA from 1 species
UCGUUGAGAGAAGGAGCACAUGAGCUUCCGUGCCUUCCAAGCAUGUACUCGUAGGAGCAAGAAAAUUAGGCCUGGGACAAGUUCAUGCUCACAGAGAGCAUCCAUUCAACGUUGGGCCUGACUUCCUGGAUCUUGUGAUCUAAGCCUGUGGCCAUAAGUGCUCGGUGUGCACCUCGAAGAGACACACGGCUAGGAAUAAACAGCAAAUCGCUCUAUUACGAGUGUCAGAAUAGAGGGUAGGCGAUUGCCCAGAUUACCUGAACAACAAGACUUCAAAACGAAACAAAACUAAACAAAACAAAACGGAACGAAUCGAAACGAAACGAAACGAAACGAAAGGUGCACAACAGAUGAUGAUCGGUCUCCCGCUAAAUACAAAGUGUCACCAGUCAAGCACAGAAAAAACACUUGCUAACCUAGGCUCCAUUGCCUUAAACUUUGUUCAUCAGUUAAGACAAGAGUUAAGUCCAUCUUGUGGAGAGAAAGAAGGAUGGGAAAAGUUUCUUAGGCGUGAAUGUCAAAACAAAAUUAUGUCAUCAAGGCUCCUGGUGUAGUUUCCUUUUGUGGGAUGAUUUUAAUCUGGUUUUGGAAGAAUAUGUUUCUGGGGUGAUGGCUUUUAGAGAAUAUGUGACCUGUGGCUACCAGGAUUCAGCAACCCUCUCUCGGUCAAAGGGAGUGCCUCCCCUUCCCCAAUAAGUGAAACUUUAUUCCCUUAGAGAAAAGUGGUGAGUAGGCCCCACCCCACCCCCAACCCUGCCAAUUCCUCACUCAGCCUUCCACAGUUAACGCUGUAGGGUCCAUGCUGACCUUGGCAGACUGUAAGGACAGAGUUGACUGGGCCCACCGAGGUGGGAGUUCUGGGGGUCUCCGGUGGAGUGGUGGAGUAUUGGAUGGGUUGAGAUUGGGGUCGAGGGGUGCGAGGGUGGGGCAUGGUGGGUUGGGAGAGUCUCUGCAAGCACCGGGGGUCGCAGAGUAAGGAUCCCAGCG